GACGAACGCUGGCGGCGUGCUUAACACAUGCAAGUGGAGCGACGAACCAGGCUUCGGCCUGGGGCAGAGCCGCGAACGGGUGAGUAACACGUGGGUAACCUGCCCUGAUGAUCGGGACAACCCGGGGAAACCCGGGCGUAAUACCGAAUGUGCCCGCGAGCCGCAAGGCUUGCGAGGAAAGGAAGCUUCGGCCUCCGCAUCGGGAUGGGCCCGCGGCCCAUUAGCUUGUUGGUGGGGUAACGGCCUACCAAGGCAGCAAUGGGUAGCUGGUCUGAGAGGACGAUCAGCCACACUGGGACUGAGACACGGCCCAGACUCCUACGGGAGGCAGCAGUGGGGAAUCUUGCGCAAUGCGCGAAAGCGUGACGCAGCAACGCCGCGUGGGGAAGACGGCCUCGGUU
rnacentral:rRNA from 1 species